AACACAUAAAACUAUUUUAACAAAAUAAAUAACAUUAUUAUUAUAUAAUUGUGUGUAAAUAAAAAAAAAAAAAAUGUUUAGUACAAUUUUUAAAAUAUUGAUCACUCUCUUUUUUAUAUGGACAUGGCUUUAUAAAAACAAAGAUCGCAUAGAAAAUGUAUUAAACUCAAAAUACAUUCGAUUAUUGGCUCAAUAUGAUAUCUCGCCAAGUGAAAGGUGUAAUCAUUCUUAUGUGGCAGAUUAUAAUAGUAGCAAAACAUGUGAACGUAAUAAUAAUAAAAAAAAUGUAAAACAUAUAGGGAAAAACAAAAUUUUUCAAAAUGAAAAGUAUAAUACCAACAAGUUAUUUUAUUUAUUAUAUAGGAAGCAAGAAUUAGUUAAAAUAUUAGCUAACCGAAAAGAACCCAAAAAAACGUUCAUACUAAAAAAAAAAUACAAUAUAAUCAAAACGAAUUUACUACAAAUAUAUGACGUUAUUAAAAAUGUCAUAUCAAAUGAAGAAUAUUUACAAAUGUUAAAUAAAAAAUGUGAAUUGUUAAAAAGUAGAAGCUUAGAUGAUAAUGACCAUACUGCAAUAUGCUACAACUCAAUGUUAUACUUAGUGCACAAACACUUCUUACUUACCAACAGUAAAGAAUAUUUUAAAAGGCUGUUUUUACCGUUACAACAACAUAAUCCCCAACAAUCCAAAUUUAAACAAAGAAAAUCGAAAUCGAAACAUUUAAGUCUAUUUAAAUGCUGUAAUACAACAGAUAAUCAAUUUAAGACUAAGUUACCUAAACAAAUGACAAAAAACGAGAUUUAUUUUAACGUAAAAAUGCCAUAUAUAAAAGGUUAUAAUUUAUUUAGUUCUUCAUUCAUUAAUGCAUUAUUAUUAUAUAUAAUUAUUAUUUUAGCUACAUCUUUGGGGUUAUUUUUUUUCGUAUUCACAUUAUGGGUAUGGUUACUAUUAAAAUGUAUGCACCGUAUAUAACAAAAUAAUAAAUAUAUAUAAUCUCUAAACCGAAUUGUACAAAAAUCACACAUAACUGCCAAACAGAAAAUAUUUCAUUAAAUAAUAUGUACAAUAAACAAAACUUAACACAGUAAUAAAUAUAUGUAUGUCAUACUAAUUUUAAUAUUGUUUAUAUUAACAAGUUUUUUUUGGAUGCUGCAAACAAGAAUAAGUUAAACAUAUUUAACUUUUUAAACGUAUCAAAUAUUCAAACAAAUAGCUACUUAGUUAUUGUAUACCACAACAAAUAAAAAAUAAAAUAAAAAACUAACAGAAUAAUAAUCACCUUACAUAAAUACAAUCCAAGUUUGCUAAUACAAUAACAAACACUAUAUUUCUUUUAUUUUUAAAAAAUAAUGCUAAUUUAUAAAAAAAAAAAAUUCUUAAAAUAAUUAUAA